GCCGGAGUGGCGGAAUGGCAGACGCACUUGACUCAAAAUCAAGCGGGAAACCGUGUGGGUUCGACUCCCAUCUCCGGCACCA
rnacentral:tRNA from 4 species